UACGAAGGUCCCAAGCGUUAUCCGGAUUUAUUGGGUUUAAAGGGUGCGUAGGCGGGCUAUUAAGUCAGUGGUGAAAGCCCCCGGCCUAACCGGGGAACUGCCAUUGAUACUGAUGGUCUUGAGUACAGACGAGGUGGGCGGAAUUUAUGGUGUAGCGGUGAAAUGCAUAGAUACCAUAAAGAACACCGAUUGCGAAGGCAGCUUACUUGGCUGUAACUGACGCUGAGGCACGAAAGCGUGGGGAGCAAACAGG
rnacentral:rRNA from 1 species